GAGAGCCAGAUGUGGGGAGACCUUCAUGUCCGGUUCGGAGGGCGGUUGAUAUGACGACCCGGC
rnacentral:ncRNA from 1 species